UGAAAAAGUUGACAGCAGUACAGAAUUACAAAUUACAAUGUCAUUCGUUCAUGAACAAAUAUUCAAUCAGGUACAUUUUUCCGAAAAGUUAAUGUUGUUUGCAGACAAAAUCUUGGUCUUCUUGGUUUUAAAACCAUUAGACUCAUUUUUCAGUAGGGCCUCUGAUGAUGAUUAGAACAGCAACCAGCAACGAACUUUAAAAAAUUCCAAUGGAUACAUACGGAGCCUAAACGCAAAUAGACAUAACCAAAUCCAGCUAAUCACCAUAUACAAUCCAGAAGUGAUAAUUUUAAAUGAGACUUGGCUAAAAACGGACCAACGAUGUAGUCUAUCUAACUACGUGUUAGUGAGGCAAGACGUGUGUGACGACUUGAUGGCUAUGGAGGAGUAAUGAUUAUGGGACAUCAAAACCUAAAGUUCCGACUCAUUUCCAACUCGCGCCUGAAGAACAAUGGUUUGCAGUUACACAUACAUACACAUCCGGUUCAACAAUGUAGACCUCAUAGGUACCUAUUGUCCACCAAACUCCCGCAUUCGGACACUGAGUAACUACUUGGAGGAUAAAAGCCUAUCAAAUCUGAUAAUAACGGGAGAUUUAAACGCGCACCACACCUCAGGAGGAGGAGGCAUAACAACAACGACAAUGGAAACUCACUAUAUCUUGGACGAUAGAUUCCUAAUAGUCAUGAAUCAUCUGGAGCCGAAUCCUGGACUGCGGUUAUAGCGAUCACUUUCCGAUCAUGUAAGAAUACCGAGCAAAUGCCUCCCAUAACAUUCUAAUUAUAGGAAAAAAUUGGAAAUACCAAAAAGCUGACUGGAAUAAAUUCUACCAAAUAAUUGCGAGGGGAAUAGAAACACAACCAGCAACAACUAACUAACACAUACACGCAGGUAAUACAGAAAAGGUGAUACAAAACGCCGCUGAAGAGAUUCCCCCAAUCGGAAAGAAAGUGUAAAUUCCCAAAAAUCCCGUGGUUGGAUCAAGACUGCAAAAGUGAGGUGGAAAAGCGCAAGCGAAGCCUGCAAGAAUUUCUGCAAUACUCUUCAAUAGACAACAUGCUUAAAGCUAAAUUGGUCAGAGCGCAAACCCGAAAAAUGCGGAGGUGUAAAAAGCAGCAGAGCUUUAUAAGGUCCUGCAACGACCUAAAUAGAGAUAUCCAUAUCGCUAAAAUAUGGAAUACGGUGAUGAUGUUUAACAACAGAAGAUCGGUAGGCAUAGCAAAUCUUGGCCCUAGAAAUUUUAAACAAUCUGACCAUCAACCACAUGCCUAUUCAAAUACCCACUGCACAACCAGCAGGAAACCAUACAAUAGACCCCAUAUCCACCAACGAGAUAAAGCGGUAAUUGAAACGAAGUCUGAUCACCAGGACUAGAUAACAUUCCAUACACAUUACUUCGGAAAAUAACCCCUAAUGCGCUGGAAACUCUGACCAACAUCUACAACUCUUGCCUAUAAUCACAGUCAAUCCGGGAAGAAUGGAAAAAAAUUAAUAAUCGCUUUCGUCAAGCCGAAAAAAGAAAUAAAAGCGAAGAACUUCAGGUCAAUUACUUUCACAUGUGCUUUAAAAAUAUUUGAAUCCAUCGUUAAAAAAAUAAAAUAAACCGCAUCGAAUGGCUACUAGAGAGCAGGAGAUGCUUCAAACACUGGCAGACAGGUUUCCGAAAAGAGAUGGGCCCCAUAACAACAUUCAUCGAACGGGCUUUCUACAUAAAUGAAAAGUGUUCAUCGACCUAAAAGCUGCAUACGACAACGUUAACCUAGCAACACUGAAACGUUUUCUGUCUAGGUCUUGUGAGUCUUCUGUUGACGACAUAUUCUUCAACAAUAAACAACACCGUUCUAGAAAUCCUGUAUGAAAGACACCUUUACAUUAAGGACAACCACAACAAUCUGCAUGCACCCAAGAACUCCCUUUCAGGACUCCCAGUCCGCUUUUGUGCAAUAUAUACACCAGAAAAAUAUACAGAUGCAUCCCGAAAGGAGUAGAAAUGCUGGCUUACAAAUAAUACCGGAAAUAAUACAAAUGCAUUGAGACAACCGGUAAGUGUGGCCCUGCAUAACAUUAACACCUGGUGUACGGAGCAUAACCUGGCAAUAUCGACGGACACAACACAAGGAAUGCAGUUCCAAAAGCAAGACGGCUAAACGGAAAAACCAUCCAAAUCAAGACGGAAGCCAAAUAUCUGGGUGUGAUACUUUACGAAAACUUUAAGUGAACAUCACAAUUAAAGGACAGGAGAGAAAAAGGCAAAAAAGGCACAGGAGAAAAAAAGAAAGUAGAAAGCGGAGAAACCGACUUGGAAACCCGACGUAUAUGGCUAGCUGCCAAAUUGUAUUCAAAAAUAGUGGUUUACAGCGGUCACCCUCUCAUACCCACGAUUACAGAUCAACGCCACACCAGGACGCUUAAUGCACAAAACGAACACAAAACACUCUAUAUAGUCCAGGCAUUACCGCUGCUCAACAAACUCAUCGCAGAAGGAGACAGAAAUCGUACUAUCCCAUGUUUGAGAUUUAAUAAGUAUAAUUAUAAUAUAAAAUUUUAUUUUAA